rnacentral:rRNA from 1 species
GACGAACUGUGCAAACGUUAUUCGGAAUCACUGGGCUUGAAGAGUGCGUAGGCGGUUUUGUAAGUCGGGUGUGAAAGCCCCCGGCUCAACCGGGGAAUUGCGCCUUAAACUGCAAGGCUGGAGUGAGGUAGGGGUGUGUGGAACUUCCAGUGGAGCGGUGAAAUGUGUUGAUAUUGGAAGGAACGCCGGUGGCGAAAGCGACACACUGGACCUUGUCUGACGCUGAGGCACGAAAGCCAGGGGAGCAAACGGG